CUAAAAUGAGAGUUUGAUCCUGGCUCAGGACGAACGCUGGCGGCGUGCCUAAUAC
rnacentral:rRNA from 3 species